rnacentral:rRNA from 1 species
UACAGGGGGGGCAAGCGUUGUUCGGAAUUACUGGGCGUAAAGGGUUCGUAGGUGGCCACUUAAGUCAGACGUGAAAUCCCUCAGCUUAACUGGGGAACUGCGUCUGAUACUGGAUGGCUUGAAUUCGGGAGAGGGAUGCAGAAUUCCAGGUGUAGCGGUGAAAUGCGUAGAUAUCUGGAGGAAUACCGGUGGCGAAGGCGGCAUCCUGGACCGAGAUUGACACUGAUGAGCGAAAGCCAGGGGAGCAAACGGG